GGUUCAAUGGUCUAGUGGUUAUGAUUUCUGUCUCACAGUUGGGACUCCGUUGGGUUAACCUCGGUCACAGAAGGUCUCCAGUUCGAUCCUGGAUUGAACCA